rnacentral:rRNA from 1 species
GCGGUGGAGCAUGUGGUUUAAUUGAAGCAACGCGAAGAACCUUCAGGCCUUGACAUCCAAUGAACUUUCCAGAGAUGGAUUGGUGCUUCGGGAACAUUGAGACAGGUGUGCAUGGCGUGUCAGUCGUUCGUGAGAUGUUGGGUUAAGUCCGUAACGAGCGCAACCCUUGUCUUAGUUACCCGCACGUUAUGGUGGGCACUUAAGGAGACUGCCGGUGACAAACCGGAGGAAGGUGGGGAUGACGUCAAGUCAUCAUGGCCCUUACGGCCUGGGCUACACACGUGCUACAAUGGUCGGUACAGAGGGUUGCCAAGCCGCGAGGUGGAGCUAAUCCCACAAAACCUCGUUCCGGAUCGCAUUUUGCAACUGGAUGCGGAAAUGAAACGGCUUAAUCGGAAC